CUCACUCAGUCAUGUCCGACUCUUUGCGACUCCGUGGACUGUAGCCCGCCAGGCUCCUCUGUCCAUGGAAUUCUCCAGGCAAGAAUACUGGAGUGGGUUGCCAUUUCCUUCUCCAGGGGAUCUUCCCAACCCAGGGAUCAAACCCAGGUCUCCCGCGUGGCAGGCAGAUGCUUUAUCCUCUGAGCCACCAGGGAACGCAGUGAUUUUGGAGCCCCCCAAAACAAAGUCUGUCACUGUUUCCAUUCUUUUCCCAUCUAUUUGCCAUGAAAUGAUGGGACUGGAUGCCAUAAUCUUUGUUUUUUGAAUGUUGAGUUUUAAGGCAGCUUUUUCACACUCCUUUUUCACCCUCACCAAGAGGUUCUUUAAUUCCUUUUCAAUUUCUGCCAUAAGGACGGUGUCAUCUGCAUAUCUGAGGUUAUUGAUAUUUCUCCCCACAAUCUUGAUUUCAUCUUGUGCUUCAUUCAGCCCAGCAUUUCACAUGAUGUACUCUGCAUAUAAGUUAAAUAAGCAUGGUGACAGUGUACAGCCUUGACGUACUCCUUUCUCAAUUUGAAACCAGUUUCAAUUCUAUUUUAUAUAUAAAUAUAAUUUUUAAAUUAACACAAGCACUGGUUCCCACUCCAGUGGUGAUUCCUGAAGGGCUAUGUCCCAUUGCAGACACAUUGUUCUCUUUUUAAGUUUUUUAUUAGAGUAUAGUUUAUUUACAAUGUUAUGUUAGUUUCAGAUGUGCAGCAAAGUGAAUCAGUUAUACGUAUACAUAUAUCCACUCUUUUUAAGAUUCUUUUCCUAUAUAUAUCAUUACAGAAUAAUGAGCAGAGUUCCCUAUGCUAUAUAGUACAGGGAACUGUACUGUUAUUAGCUAUCAAUUUUAUACAUAGUAGUGUGCAUAUGUCAAUCCCAAUCUCCUAAUCUAUCCACCCCUAUUCCCUGGUGACCCUAAGUUUAUUUUCUACAUCUGUGACUCUAUGUUUUGAAGUAAGUUCAUUUGUACUCUUUUUUAAGAUUCCGUAUAUAAGCAAUAUCAUAUGAUAUUUGAAUAUGUUGUUCUUUAAAAACAAAAAAAAAAAAUCUGCCAACAUUUUAAGUCUUGGAAAUGAGAUGAGAACACAAUUUGUGUAUCCUGGGUUUCUCCUAUCUAUACACUAACCAAUUUUGCUUAGAACUGACCACACUGAUAAAAAUUUUACCCUAACUUCUCAUCUUACCUACAAGUUGCUCAGUCAUGUCUGACUCUUUGUAACCCCAUGAACUGUAGUUAGCCAGGCUCCUCUGUCCAUGGAAUUCUCCAGGCAAGAAUACUGGAGUGAGUAACCUUUUCCUUCUCCAGGGGAUUUUCCCAACCCACCUAGGGAUUGAACCCAGUGAUCAAACCGAGGUCUCCCGCAUUGCAGGUGGGUUCUUUACUAUCUGAGCCACCAGGGAAGCUCAUCUUAAGAUUCCAUCUUCUGAGAUUUCCUUUUGAACUGAAUGUACAACUAAAUCUUUUUUUUUUUUUUUUCCCAUAAGGAAUGCUACAAAAGUUGUGAGCAUGUAAGAUCCACAGAUGUGGAAGGUGACACCUGGACUACUCCAUGUCAAAGUUCAUAUGACAAAGCUUUGUGGAAGGAUCUACAGUAUCUGUAAACAUAGAUGAUCCCUGCAAGGAAGGAAUGACAGGAGAUAACUCAGGAGCAAAAAGCAGAUAGGUGAGGGCCAGCAUAUUCAGCUUAGAAUGUUUAACCAGUACCUGUAGCAAAGGAAGACAACCAAAUAUGAUGCAGGAAGAGUCACUGAGGAUAAACAGUAACAAAAAAAAGAGCUCCUUCAGCAGAGUAUAAAACAGGACCUGGAGCAAGAAGGCAUUCAGAUUCAAGAAAUAUACUCUUCUGAAAAUUGUCCCAGAACCUCUACCCUCUGAGACCAUGGUCAACUUUUGUUGGGGUUCCAUCUGCUCUGACCAGAGCUGUGGCCAAGGUCUCUGCCAGUAAAUCUGCUGACACCCCAGCUGCUGCCAGACCACCUGCUUCACAACCACCUGUUGCCAUCCCAGCUGCAGUGUGUCCAGCUGUUGCCACCCAGUCUGCUGCCACCCCACCUGCUGCAGGACCACCUGCUGAUGCCCCACCUGCUGCCACCCCCACUGCUGUAUCUCCAGCUGCUGCAGGCCCACAUGCUGUAUCUCUAGCUGCUACCGCCCCAGAUGCUGCAAGACCGCCUGCUGCUACCCAGUCUACUUUAGGGUUUCUUGCUGCUGAAUGCCCUGUCCUGCACCAUCAACCAACCUGAUCAAUAGAGUCCAAGUGUUAGCUGAACCAUGAGAGGCCAACUGUCAAACCUCAGUUCUAACAGAUUCUUAUACUAAAUUUGGCCUCCAAAUAUAUUGCCCCCUCUCCAUCAUGAUACUAUCUCUACUAAACAAGCACAAAGUACCAAUUUUCUCUGAAAUCUGUCAACCAAUAUAUUCCAAUUAUAUAUUUGUUUCCCACCAAAUUUUCUUAUAUGGAGCUUUUCCCAAAUCUUGAAGUUAAAUCAAUGUUAACUGUCC
ensembl:lncRNA